rnacentral:rRNA from 1 species
AGCGAACGCUGGCGGCGUACUUAACACAUGCAAGUCGAACGGGGAUCAUCGGGUUAGCAAUAACUCGGUGGUCCUAGUGGCGCACGGGUGAGUAACACGUGGGUAACCUGCCCUGGAGACCGGGAUACCCCCUCGAAAGGGGGGCUAAUACCGGAUACGUUCCCUGGAUCGAGAGGUCUGGGGAGGAAAGGUGGCGAAAGCUGCCGCUCUUGGAGGGGCUCGCGGCCUAUCAGCUAGUUGGCGGGGUAACGGCCCACCAAGGCUAUGACGGGUAGCUGGUCUGAGAGGACGACCAGCCACACGGGGACUGAGACACGGCCCCGACUCCGUACGGGAGGCAGCAGGUGGGGUAAUUUUGCGCAAUGGGGACGAAAGCCUGACGCAGCAACGCCGCGU